GGAAAGGGGGCGAGUCGAGCACCUUGCGCCCUGCGUCUCCGUGCGUCUCUUCCGAUUCGCCACAUUAAUGUGUCGGCGUCUGCGAUGAGGAUGAACGGCGCCGCUGCGUGAGGAGGAGAGAGGAGGGAAAGAGAGGAAGCAGCGUAAAGUCCGUUCAAACCCGGCCACUCGCCUCGUGUCUCUUCGCAAAGUGUUUCACGCCGUCGUUCCGCUGCGUUUUGUGGCUUUGGCGUCUUUCUCCUCUGCGCCUUAGCACCUGCACACCGGGCUCCUGGUCUCACAUUCCUGCGGACAGCCUUCUUAACGACCUCGUGGCAUCAAACAAGGUCCAGGAUGUGGCGAGGCCGGUUUGCUGCAGGUCACUGUGUCCUUGUGUCUCUGCUGCUGGUCUGUUUUGACUCAGGCGCAGUCUCUACAGUCGUAAACAUGAGACGGGUCACUCAUCCUACAGUAACAGAGCAGCUGGCAGGGAAAGCUGUGCUGCCCUGUGUGCUCACGCUGCAGCCCAGCUCCAGCGACGAUGCUCCCCACCUCGUGUGGACUCGAGUCAGGCUGCCAGCCGAUGGCCAAGGCCCCCUCUGGAGCAGGUGGUUCUCACCGCUAAAGGUA
rnacentral:lncRNA from 1 species